rnacentral:rRNA from 1 species
GAAGUUAAAGGCUGUGGCUCAACCAUAGUUCGCUUUGGAAACUGUCAAACUUGAGUGCAGAAGGGGAGAGUGGAAUUCCAUGUGUAGCGGUGAAAUGCGUAGAUAUAUGGAGGAACACCGGUGGCGAAAGCGGCUCUCUGGUCUGUAACUGACGCUGAGGCUCGAAAGCGUGGGGAGCGAACAGGAUUAGAUACCCUGGUAGUNCACGCCGUAAACGAUGAGUGCUAGGUGUUGGAUCCUUUCCGGGAUUCAGUGCCGCAGCUAACGCAUUAAGCACUCCGCCUGGGGAGUACGACCGCAAGGUUGAAACUCAAAGGAAUUGACGGGGGCCCGCACAAGCGGUGGAGCAUGUGGUUUAAUUCGAAGCAACGCGAAGAACCUUACCAGGUCUUGACAUCCCGAUGCUAUUUCUAGAGAUAGGAAGUUACUUCGGUACAUCGGUGACAGGUGGUGCAUGGUUGCCGUCAGCUCGUGUCGUGAGAUGUUGGGUUAAGNNNNNNNNCGAGCGCAACCCCUAUUGUUAGUUGCCAUCAUUCAGUUGGGCACUCUAGCAAGACUGCCGGUAAUAAACCGGAGGAAGGUGGGGAUGACGUCAAAUCAUCAUGCCCCUUAUGACCUGGGCUACACACGUGCUACAAUGGUUGGUACAACGAGUUGCGAGUCGGUGACGGCGAGCUAAUCUCUUAAAGCCAAUCUCAGUUCGGAUUGUAGGCUGCAACU